AUUGAACGCUGGCGGCAGGCCUAACACAUGCAAGUCGAGCGGCAGCGGAAAGUAGCUUGCUACUUUGCCGGCGAGCGGCGGACGGGUGAGUAAUGUCUGGGAAACUGCCUGAUGGAGGGGGAUAACUACUGGAAACGGUAGCUAAUACCGCAUAACGUCGCAAGACCAAAGAGGGGGACCUUCGGGCCUCUUGCCAUCAGAUGUGCCCAGAUGGGAUUAGCUAGUAGGUGGGGUAACGGCUCACCUAGGCGACGAUCCCUAGCUGGUCUGAGAGGAUGACCAGCCACACUGGAACUGAGACACGGUCCAGACUCCUACGGGAGGCAGCAGUGGGGAAUAUUGCACAAUGGGCGCAAGCCUGAUGCAGCCAUGCCGCGUGUAUGAAGAAGGCCUUCGGGUUGUAAGGUACUUUCAGCGGGGAGGAAGGCGUUGAGGUUAAUAACCUCAGCGAUUGACGUUACCCGCAGAAGAAGCACCGGCUAACUCCGUGCCAGCAGCCGCGGUAAUACGGAGGGUGCAAGCGUUAAUUGGAAUUACUGGGCGUAAAGCGCACGCAGGCGGUCUGUCAAGUCGGAUGUGAAAUCCCCGGGCUCAACCUGGGAACUGCAUUCGAAACUGGCAGGCUAGAGUCUUGUAGAGGGGGGUAGAAUUCCAGGUGUAGCGGUGAAAUGCGUAGAGAUCUGGAGGAAUACCGGUGGCGAAGGCGGCCCCCUGGACAAAGACUGACGCUCAGGUGCGAAAGCGUGGGGAGCAAACAGG
rnacentral:rRNA from 1 species